rnacentral:pre_miRNA from 1 species
UUGGUACUCCCUCCGUUCGGAAUUACUUGUCGCAGAAAUGGAUGUAUCUAGAUGUAUUUUAGUUCUAGAUACAUCCAUAUUCGAGACAAGUAAUUCCGAACGGAGGGAGUAGUAC